rnacentral:rRNA from 1 species
GUGGGGAAUAUUGCACAAUGGGCGCAAGCCUGAUGCAGCGACGCCGCGUGCGGGAUGACGGCCUUCGGGUUGUAAACCGCUUUUGACUGGGAGCAAGCCCUUCGGGGUGAGUGUACCUUUCGAAUAAGCACCGGCUAACUACGUGCCAGCAGCCGCGGUAAUACGUAGGGUGCAAGCGUUAUCCGGAAUUAUUGGGCGUAAAGGGCUCGUAGGCGGUUCGUCGCGUCCGGUGUGAAAGUCCAUCGCUUAACGGUGGAUCCGCGCCGGGUACGGGCGGGCUUGAGUGCGGUAGGGGAGACUGGAAUUCCCGGUGUAACGGUGGAAUGUGUAGAUAUCGGGAAGAACACCAAUGGCGAAGGCAGGUCUCUGGGCCGUCACUGACGCUGAGGAGCGAAAGCGUGGGGAGCGAACAGGAUUAGAAACCCGUGUAGUCC